GCCGCCUUAGCUCAGGGGUAGAGCGCGUCAUUGGUAAUGACGAGGUCGUAAGUUCGAAUCUUACAGGCGGCACCA
rnacentral:tRNA from 1 species